GACGUAGGGGGCCAGCGUUGUUCGGAAUUACUGGGUGUAAAGGGUUCGUAGGCGGUGUGGCAAGUCGGGAGUGAAAUCUCUGGGCUCAACUCAGAGACUGCUUCCGAAACUGCUGUGCUGGAGUGUGGGAGAGGCGCGUGGAAUUGCAGGUGUAGCGGUGAAAUGCGUAGAUAUCUGCAGGAACACCCGUGGCGAAAGCGGCGCGCUGGACCACUACUGACGCUGAGGAACAAAAGCUAGGGGAGCAAACAGG
rnacentral:rRNA from 1 species